rnacentral:rRNA from 1 species
GACGAACGCUGGCGGCGUGCCUAAUACAUGCAAGUCGAACGAGAGCGCCCGGUGCUUGCACUGGUCAAUCUAGCGGCGAACGGGUGAGUAACACGUGGGUAACCUGCCCAUAAGAGGGGGAUAACAUUCGGAAACGGAUGCUAAAACCGCAUAGGUCUUCGAACCGCAUGGUUUGAAGAUGAAAAGCGGCGCAACCGUCUGCUGAUGGAUGGACCCGCGGUGCAUUAGCUAGUUGGUGAGGAAACGGCUCACCAAGGCAAGGAUGCAUAGCCGACCUGAGAGGGUGAUCGGCCACAGUGGGACUGAGACACGGCCCAAACUCCUACGGGAGGCAGCAGUAGGGAAUCUUCCGCAAUGGGCGCAAGUCUGACGGAGCAACGCCGCGUGAGUGAAGAAGGUUUUCGGAUCGUAAAACUCUGUUGUUAGAGAAGAAUAAGUGCUAGAGUAACUGUUAGCGCCUUGACGGUAUCUAACCAGAAAGCCACGGCUAACUACGUG